rnacentral:lncRNA from 1 species
GUAGGCAUUAAAAAUAUUUUAUUGAUAUUUUCACUGGUUUGCAUUUAUUUAACAAAACUCAUAUUCCUUAUUUCAUCACCCUGAAUAUUAUUCCAGCUAGAAACCCCAGCAGACUCAUCAGACUUAGAGAUGGGUUUACCUCCUUACACACACACUCACACCUCUGUUCUUUCUCCCUUACACAUUCUUGUCUGCUCAGCCCCUGCCACUGACACCUCUUCCCUCUCGCCCCACCAGCUUAGAGAACUAUUCUGGUAUUAGACCUACAAGUUAGGAGAACAGUUUGGAGAUAUAGUCAGGGAACAAGGGAAGAAGAACUGGGUAUAUAGCACCUCUUUUCAAGAAACUGAGCAGUUCCAAUCCCCUAUAAUAAAAAGAGCCUGAGAUAGCUGGGAAGAUGAGUCCUUAGGAAUAUAUGAGGCAAGUGGGUGCAGCCGUGAAGCCAGAGAAUGUAUGCACUCGGUGUAAUGUGUUGACUCUAGGUCAUACAAGUAUAAAAGAUACUAGUAUCCUAUUUCUG